UACGGGGGGGGCAAGCGUUGUUCGGAAUUACUGGGCGUAAAGGGUGCGUAGGCGGUGCUCUAAGUCGGAUGUGAAAACUCUGGGCUCAACCCAGAGCCUGCAUCCGAAACUGGAGUGCUAGAGUUCUGGAGGGGGUAGCGGAAUUCCUGGUGUAGCGGUGAAAUGCGUAGAUAUCAGGAGGAACACCGGUGGCGAAGGCGGGUCUCUGGGCCGAUACUGACGCUGAGGAGCGAAAGCGUGGGGAGCGAACAGG
rnacentral:rRNA from 1 species